GACCGCAUUAAAAUUGGUGUCGUGCCUGUUUACAACGCUACUACUCGCAGUAAUUGUUCUCGGAUAUCCCGCCAGUAAUAGUGAAGCAGACAUUUGUACGUAAGAUGCGACUUGAAGGAAUCUUUCCGUGAAACAAAUUUUGAAAUUCAGAAUUCUACCUACAUCUUGUAUCAUUCCUUUCGCUGGUAUGCCAAGAUGUUCAUGAACUUGCGCGACAGUCUGCUCCUUACUCGAAGAUGUUUGAGCCGCUAUAAAGUUGGAGAAAGCAGUCAAUGGCAUGGUUCCUUUGUCUGAAAUAAUCUCUAACGAGACACUCGCUUCAGAUUCUGGCUCCAGGGUCAGUAAUUCCUAAACAGAAUACAAUAAUAUAUAGAUACAAAAUAUAAAUACACUUACAUUCCAAAUUAAUUUGUUACUCAAAGAUAUGUAAAUUAAUUUAUUCAUAAUUAAUGUAAAACAUACCUGAUUCGAGUCCAAAAAAUAUAGUUGCGACUUUCGUUGCCAUUGACUAAAGGAAUUACGUUUUUCCUGCAGAUGAGGUACAAAAGUAGCUGCUAAUAUAGAACUGGUACUUUCGAUGAGGCAUUCUUUCUUAUAAAUGAGUGUUGCACUUUGUGGUGUAAACACGUAUACUAAAAGCAAGCAAAUAAUCUUUAUCAAGAAUAUAAUAAGAUUAAAAAAUAUAAAAAAAUAUAACAAUACAAAUAUUAUGUAAAAUUGUUAUAUAAUAUAAAAAAAUAUAUAUUACAACAUAUAUUAAAAUAAAAUUCUUAAUAAUUCUUUUGGCAAUAAAAUAAAUAAUAAAGAGGCAUUUACAAAUGUAUAACGUACAUGAAUUAUCAGAUGUAAAUGCUGCCAUGUAUGUAGAUUUUAGAUCACACGUGAGACUCACGACAUUCAAAGAUACGCUCCAUGUUAUAGCAAGAGUUAAAAUAUUCCAAACUGUUAUGUGCUGCUGAGACACAAUUACAACAAGAUGACAGGCCUCGUGUUUGCCGAAUUCUAUUAGUCUAUAAACAUUUUACAAUUAUGCGCUUGACGAUCAUUUUUCACAUUUAGCUAAGAAGAGAUUUAUUAACAAUAUAUUUAUUAAUUAUAUAUAUUUUUUCUUGACUUACGUUAUCGGAUGAUUAUACUGAGAAUGUGUAAGACUGGAUUUUAACUCGCAAGUUUCAGGCACCCAUAAAGUUAAGGUAGAAUUAAAGCCAACAGCUAAUAACGAACCAUCUGCUGAAAAACCUGCAUCUGUAGCAGGUAAAUUGCGAUAAUCUCCUACUCCAUAACAAUACCAAUGUUUCGUUUCUUUAUCUGUAACAAAUAUAUUAAAUAAUGAAAUAUUUCGCUAAUAUAUAUUUCGCUAAACUUUAAUGAAGCUAUUUUAUUACAAAAUAUAUAUAAUUAAAUAUAUGUACCUUCUAUAGUAGAAGAUUUUCUCAAAUUCCACAAUUUAAAUUUAUUAUCUUUUCCAGUAGUAACUGCUAACCAUUCUCCAUCGUCAAAUGUCGUAUCUGGUUGAAAAUGUAGUGCAUUAAUUCCAUUCUCAUGAGGUAAUUCAAUGGACGUAUUUAAUACAAAUCUAAAAUGUUAAUAAAUUAUAUACUAACUAUAUAUUAUAAUGUUAAUAAAUAUUAUAUAUAAAUUAUAUAUGGCAUUAGUCUAAAUAAGUAUAAUAAAACUUAUAUUUACAUUUGCGUCUUCAGAUUGUAGAGCCAGAAUUUUAAUCUAACUUCUAUAGACGAAACUUUGUCAUUUCGUUCUUCAACCGUUGCCAUCCAUGUACCAUCAUGAUUCAGAGCUAUUUUUGUAACUUCUGUAUUUACAAUAAUUGCAUCGCGUUCUUGGGUCAAAAAAUUUUGAGCAGUUAUAUUAAUCUGGAAAAUAUGUCAAAAAAGUUUUACUAUUUAUUCUAAUUUUUUUAAUAUUAUUUUUUUCUUCUGUAUGUGUAACAAAUGUUUUACUCACAUUGUAUAAUAGAUUUUUUGUAUGAGUGUUGUAAAAUUGUACAUGUCCAGUACGGCUAUUUAGAACGAGACUACCUGUUCUCGGGUCGACAAUAAGCCCUGCAGGAAAUAAAUCUUUGGACGAUGAAGCAACACCCCAUGUAAAAUUUUGUAUCACUGAUGUCAAUUUUCUUUGAGGAUUUACAACAACAAUGCCUGUUACAAUUGAAAUGAUUAGUUGUCAUAAACGUGCUAAUAACUUAAAACUUUACAACAAAAAAUUUUACCAUUAUCUAAAGUGGAUACUGCAACAUAUAAAUUAUCUGGUGCAAUAGUGAGAUGUUUAAUAGGCGCCGGUAAUCGUGGAAGGAAUGACUUAUGUUGGGGAUUUGCUAAAGUCCAUUUUACCAACACGCAUUCACCACCACCUGUAUACAUAUGGCCACCUGUAAAAUAAACAAGUGUAUUAUAAA